GACGAACGCUGGCGGCGUGCUUAACACAUGCAAGUCGAACGGUAAGGCCCUUCGGGGUACACGAGUGGCGAACGGGUGAGUAACACGUGGGUGAUCUGCCCUGCACUUCGGGAUAAGCCUGGGAAACUGGGUCUAAUACCGGAUAGGACUCCGGACUGCAUGGUCUGGGGUGGAAAGCUUUUGCGGUGUGGGAUGGGCCCGCGGCCUAUCAGCUGGUUGGUGGGGUGAUGGCCUACCAAGGCGACGACGGGUAGCCGGCCUGAGAGGGUGACAGGCCGCACUGGGACUGGGAGACGGCCCAGAAGCCUACGGGAGGCAACAGUGGGGAAUAUUGCACAAUGGGCGCAAGCCUGAUGCAGCGACGCCGCGUGAGGGAUGACGGCCUUCGGGUUGUAAACCUCUUUCAGCAUCGACGAAGCGAAAGUGACGGUAGGUGCAGAAGAAGGACCGGCCAACUACGUGCCAGCCGCCGCCGUAA
rnacentral:rRNA from 1 species